GCUUUUGUUGUGUUUGGCUUUUGAUGAGUGUUACGAUUUUGGCGAGUUGUCUGUGGUUUUUGGGCUGUUUUCGUGAAGUGGAGGUCAUGUAAUAUGAUGGAUUUUUGUUGAGAAGAUGAAUUGGACUAGCAUGUUUCUUAUUUCCAUCUGUGUUUGUUUGCUCAGGGAUGAAUUAAAGCCGAGUAAGUUGUUGCUGCUCCAGGAGGUUAGGAUAUGGUCAGAGUUCUCAAGUUCAGGACAGCCAUGUCGACAAAAUGGGUCAGUGUGCAUAUCCAACUUGUUGAUGAAGGCAUUUAGCCUAUUGUGUCCUGAUCUGAGACGGUGUAAAGUGGUGUUGAUAAGUCUGUUCUGGUGGUGAAACCAGUCCACGACGCCAAGGCUUGUUUUGGAGGUUACGCUUGGGAAAUGACCUCAUUGGGAGUGAGAAUAUUCUCGAUGGAAUUGAAGAGGGGUAUUUCGUCCAUAUUACUGGCCAGUUUGUCAGCCACUUCGUUUCCAGUGAUCCCGAUAUGGCUUGGGAUCCAAGUGAGGGGACAAACCCUUCAAGUGUCCGGAGUGUAAUUUGUUCUUCCGGACAAGCGGUCACCGACAAUCUCACCUCAAGAGUCACCGCAAAGCUGCCCAGACAAUCGGUAAACCCGGUGCGAUCCGUACAGUGUCUUCUGCCGCCAACAAGAGGAAAUUAAAAGCUAAGUCGAACAAACAGCGAGUGUCGAACGGAGAUAUAGAUUCUGAAGCUCAUCUGGCGAAAGUCAUCGCCGAUAUCUGGUGACCUGUCGAAUC
rnacentral:lncRNA from 1 species